AUUGAACGCUGGCGGCAUGCUUUACACAUGCAAGUCGAACGGUAACAGGCCGCAAGGUGCUGACGAGUGGCGAACGGGUGAGUAAUGCAUCGGAACGUGCCCAGUCGUGGGGGAUAACUACUCGAAAGAGUAGCUAAUACCGCAUACGAUCUAUGGAUGAAAGCGGGGGACCGUAAGGCCUCGCGCGAUUGGAGCGGCCGAUGUCAGAUUAGGUAGUUGGUGGGGUAAAGGCUCACCAAGCCAACGAUCUGUAGCUGGUCUGAGAGGACGACCAGCCACACUGGGACUGAGACACGGCCCAGACUCCUACGGGAGGCAGCAGUGGGGAAUUUUGGACAAUGGGCGCAAGCCUGAUCCAGCAAUGCCGCGUGCAGGAAGAAGGCCUUCGGGUUGUAAACUGCUUUUGUACGGAACGAAACGGCUCUGGUUAAUACCCGGAGCUAAUAACGGUACCGUAAGAAUAAGCACCGGCUAACUACGUG
rnacentral:rRNA from 1 species